rnacentral:rRNA from 1 species
GCAAGUUUUUAAGGGCGCACGGUGGAUGCCUUGGCAUCAGGAGCCGAUGAAGGACGCGGUAAUCUGCGAUAAGCCUCGGGGAGCUGAUAAACGAGCUGUGAUCCGAGGGUCUCCGAAUGGGGAAACCCCACUACGUGUUAUGCGUGGUGACCCGCACCUGAAUUCAUAGGGUGUGUGGAGGGAACGUGGGGAAGUGAAACAUCUCAGUACCCACAGGAAGAGAAAACAACAGUGAUUCCGUCAGUAGUGGCGAGCGAACGCGGAAGAGGCCAAACCGAUGGUGUGUGAUACCCGGCAGGGGUUGCAUCAUCGGGGUCGUGGGGCGUGUCGUCCCGGGUCUGCCGGCCCGGGCGUGUGAGUGCAGGGCGAUAGUCGAACCGGUGUGAGUGCCGGACCGGAGAGGGUGAGAGUCCCGUAGACGAAAUCGUUGCUGCCGCACGGUACGCGUACCCAAGUAGCACGGGGCCCGAGAAAUCCCGUGUGAAUCUGCCAGGACCACCUGGUAAGCCUAAAUACUACCUGAUGACCGAUAGCGGACUAGUACCGUGAGGGAAAGGUGAAAAGCACCCCGACGAGGGGAGUGAAACAGAUCCUGAAACCGGACGCCUACAAGCAGUCGGAGCCGCCUUGCGCGGUGACGGCGUACCUUUUGUAUAAUGGGUCAGCGACUUUGUCUCUCGAGCAAGCUUAAGCCGGUAGGUGUAGGCGCAGCGAAAGCGAGUCUGAAUAGGGCGACGAGUUCGAGGGAUAAGACCCGAAACCGAGUGAUCUAGCCAUGUGCAGGUUGAAGGUGCGGUAACACGCACUGGAGGACCGAACCCACGUCUGUUGAAAAAGACGGGGAUGACGUGUGGCUAGGGGUGAAAGGCCAAUCAAACUCGGAGAUAGCUGGUUCUCCGCGAAAUCUAUUUAGGUAGAGCGUCUCGUAUUACCUUCGGGGGUAGAGCACUGGAUGGGCUAGGGGGUCCCAACGACUUACCAAACCUAACCAAACUCCGAAUACCGAAGAGUAGAGCGAGGCAGACACACUGCGGGUGCUAAGGUCCGUAGUGGAGAGGGAAACAGCCCUGACCGCCAGCUAAGGUCCCUAAGUUAUCACUAAGUGGGAAACGAUGUGGGAAUGCUUAGACAACCAGGAGGUUGGCUUAGAAGCAGCCAUCCUUUAAAGAAAGCGUAACAGCUCACUGGUCAAGCGUUCCUGCGCGGAAAAUGUAACGGGGCUUAAGUGAUACACCGAAGCUGCGGACUCGAAAGAGUGGUAGCGGAGCGUUCUGUAAGUCUGUGAAGGUGGCCUGCGAGGGCUGCUGGAGAUAUCAGAAGUGAGAAUGCUGACAUGAGUAGCGAUAAAGAGGGUGAGAGGCCCUCUCGCCGAAAGUCCAAGGGUUCCUGCGCAAUGCUAAUCAGCGCAGGGUAAGCCGGCCCCUAAGGCGAGGCCGAAAGGCGUAGUCGAUGGGAACCAGGUUAAUAUUCCUGGGCCAGCGGGUAGUGACGGAUUGCGGACGUUGUGCACUCUUACUGGAUUGAGUGUGCAGCCAAGCCGUCCCUGGAAAUAGCUCCCGCAUGAGACCGUACCCCAAACCGACACAGGUGGACUGGUAGAGCAUACCAAGGCGCUUGAGAGAACUCUGUUGAAGGAACUCGGCAAAUUACUCCCGUAAGUUCGCGAGAAGGGAGCCUGGCAUUAGGCAACUGGUGUCCAGGGGCACAGACCAGGGGGUGGCGACUGUUUAUUAAAAACACAGGGCUCUGCGAAGUCGCAAGACGACGUAUAGGGUCUGACGCCUGCCCGGUGCCGGAAGGUUAAAAGGAGGGGUGAGAGCUCCGAAUUGAAGCCCCGGUAAACGGCGGCCGUAACUAUAACGGUCCUAAGGUAGCGAAAUUCCUUG